rnacentral:rRNA from 1 species
AGAACUGCACAGUGGACGCGAGCAUCUGUGGCCAAGUUUUUAAGGGCGCACGGUGGAUGCCUUGGCAGGAUCCCUU